rnacentral:lncRNA from 1 species
CUCUCCUGGAUUUUUGCCUCUCUAUAAAAACUUUAGAAUAAGUAUUUUGAUAUCAUAAAAUAACUUGGUGACAUGCUACUGAGUUAUUUGAGUUCUUUUUAUAUUCUAAAUAAUAGUCUCUUGUUAAGUAAAUUGGUUACAAAUAUUUUUUCCCAUUAGGUAGUUUGUCUCUUUGCUCUGUUGAUUGUUUCCUUAGCUGUACAGAAGCUUUUAGUACAAUAUAGUCCCAUCUGUCUACUUUUAGUUUUGUUGUCUGUGCUUUUGAUGCGUUAGCCAUAAAAUAUUUGCCUAGACCAAUGCUAUGAAGUGCUUUUUCUAUGUUUUCAUCUGGUAGUUUUAUAAUUUUGGUAUUGGAUUCAGUUUGUUAGUAUUUUUUUUGAGGAUUUUUACGCCUAUUUUUAUCAAGGAAAUCUGGCUAUAGUUUUAGUUUUUUUGCAUUCUUGUCUGGUAUUGGUAUCGGUAUCACAGUAAUGCUGGCCUCAUGGAAUGAAUGUGCUUAAAAUAAAGAUCUUCAAAUAGGGAGAGUGACUUUGAUCAUCUUGGUAGUCCCUACAUCCAAUCACAUGUACCUUUAAAAGACAGAGGCAUAGAAAGACUUGACACAUAUAAAAGGAGAGGAUUUGUUUAUUAUCUUCAGGAAAUCAGAUUUCUCCCCCUCUGGCAAAAGAAAAGGAAAAUGUAUAAGUACAAAACCUCUUGAGAACCUUUCUGGAAUCAAUAGCCACAGAUGCGUCUGUUACUUGUGUUUUUCACAGGCAAGCCCUCUAGCUGGCUCAAUAAACCUCAAUUGAUUGGGACAACUGCCUCGGUCACUCAAUUUGGUUGUCGAAUUGAUACCACUACACCCUUACCAGGUAAUUAAAAAGGCUGAAAUCAUCGAACAUGUUGAGAAUUGAAA